UGGCGGCCUUAGCGCGGUGGUCCCACCUGACCCCAUGCCGAACUCAGAAGUGAAACGCCGUAGCGCCGAUGGUAGUGUGGGGGUCUCCCCAUGCGAGAGUAGGGAACUGCCAGGCA
rnacentral:rRNA from 1 species